CAGGGGCCUUGCGGAUCUGGUCCUGGUCCCGUCUGACCGGCAAGUCUGGUCUAAGGAGGGACGGGCCCUCGCCACGACGCGGCACGCGCCUAGGUGACAACACUCUCACUCAGCCACGCGCACUCGGUGACUGACAUGUACGAGCGAUGCAGGAUCAAUAGCGGUAUUGACUGUACGACAGGAGUGUACUGUGCUGCGGGACGAGGGCGGCAAUCCAAGAUGGCGGCGCUCUAGCUCUUCUCCUGUAUACAAAAUCUAGUUCUGAACAGGCUCUAGUCUGGACUUCUAGGGCAGAACCUGCUCCCAGGGUUCGCGGAGGACGUCCAUGGGAUACUACCGGAGUGUGGAGUCUGAAGCAGACCGGAACCAGCAGUGCAGGGGUGAUGGCGGGUGAGGUUGGCGGGAGCGGACGCCAUGUUCACGGCCAUUGAAUCAGCGGAGGCGGCGUUACUCAGCAUGGUGCUGAGCGGUGCCCGGCGACUCCCUCGCCUACCAUUGUUCCUACCACUAUUAGUACACGGGCACUCCUACCGAACAUGCCAUCAGUGACUCUGAGAGAAAUCAACUCUUGGUCAUCCCUGCCUCAAGGAUUCACCGCCUGAUCAUGUC